AAUAAUUUUAAAAUAAAAAUAUUAAAAUAAUUUAAUGGGGGUUAAAGUAUUUUAAUAGAAAUAAUUUUAAAAUUUAUAGUGAAUUAGUAUUGUGAAAGAAGUUUGAAAUAUUAUUAAAUAUAAAAUUAAUUAAAAGUAAUUUUUAUUUAGUGUAUCUUGUGUAUCAGAGUUUAUUAAAAAAAAUUUUUAUUUAAAAAAUUCUCGAAUUUAAGAGAGAUAAUUAAUUAUGAAAGUUAUUGUGACAUAAAUAUUUUAAAUAAUUAAUUGGAAAUGAAAUGUUAGAUCGUUCUUAAAUAUAUCUAGUUUUUUUAGAAAAAAAUUUAAUUUUAAAUUUAUUUAUGUAUUUAUUAAUUAAUUAAUUAAUUAAUAAAAUUUGUUUAUUUAAAUUUUAUAUUUUAGGGGAUAAUCUUUAAUUUAAAUAAAUAUAAUAUAUAAAAAUAAAUGUUAUUUGAAAUUAAUAUAAUUUAAAUUGUUAAUAAAUUUUAAUUUAUUAUAAAUAAUUUCAUUUAAAAUAAAAUUUAAUUAAAAAUUUAUUUUUUUAUAAAAAAAUAAUUUAAAAUAAUUUAAAAUUAAUUAUAAUGAUAAAAUUAGUAUAUAAUUUUUUUUUAAUUUAUUAAUAAAUUUUAAAAAUUAAUUAAAAGGAAUUCGGCAAAUUUUUAUAUUCACUUGUUUAACAAAAACAUGUCUUUUUGUAAAUAAUUUAAAGUCUAAUCUGCCCACUGAUUUUAAUUAAAGGGCUGCAGUAUUUUGACUGUACAAAGGUAGCAUAAUCAUUAGUCAUUUAAUUGAUGACUUGUAUGAAAGAUUGGAUGAAAUAUAGACUGUCUCUUAAUUAAAUUAUAUAAUUUAAUUUUUUAAUUAAAAAGUUAAAAUAAAUUAAAAAGACGAGAAGACCCUAUAGAGUUUUAUAAUUAGUAUAAUUAUAAUUAUUUAUAAAAUUAAAAAUUUAAAUUAUAUUAAUUAUUUUGUUGGGGUGAUGGAAAAAUUUAAUUAACUUUUUUUUUUUUUUACAUAAAUAAGUGGUUAUAUGAUCCAAUAAUAUUGAUUAAAAGAAAAAAUUACCUUAGGGAUAACAGCGUAAUUUUUUUUUUUAGUUCAAAUAAAAAAAAGAGUUUGCGACCUCGAUGUUGGAUUAAGAUAAAAUUUAAAUGCAGAAGUUUAAAAUUUUGAUCUGUUCGAUCAUUAAAAUCUUACAUGAUCUGAGUUCAAACCGGUGUAAGCCAGGUUGGUUUCUAUCUUUUGAAAAAUAAAAUAUUUUAGUACGAAAGGAUUGAAUAUUUAAAUUAAAUUUUUUUUUUUAUGAAUUUUAUUAAAAUU
rnacentral:rRNA from 1 species